CCUACGGGCGGCAGCAGUGGGGAAUAUUGGACAAUGGGGGCAACCCUGAUCCGGCCAUGCCGCGUGUGUGAAGAAGGCCCUCGGGUUGUAAAGCACUUUCAGUGAGGAAGAACGCCUGGUGGUUAAUACCCAUCAGGAAAGACAUCACUCACAGAAGAAGCACCGGCUAACUCCGUGCCAGCAGCCGCGGUAAUACGGAGGGUGCGAGCGUUAAUCGGAAUCACUGGGCGUAAAGCGCGCGUAGGUGGCUUGAUAAGCCGGUUGUGAAAGCCCCGGGCUCAACCUGGGAACGGCAUCCGGAACUGUCAAGCUAGAGUGCAGGAGAGGAAGGUAGAAUUCCCGGUGUAGCGGUGAAAUGCGUAGAGAUCGGGAGGAAUACCAGUGGCGAAGGCGGCCUUCUGGACUGACACUGACACUGAGGUGCGAAAGCGUGGGUAGCAAACAGGAUUAGAUACCCCGGUAGUC
rnacentral:rRNA from 1 species